rnacentral:rRNA from 1 species
UUAAAGUCUAAUCUGCCCUAUGAGGUAUUAAAUGGCCGCGGUAUUUUGACCGUGCAAAGGUAGCAUAAUAAUUAGUUUUUUAAUUGAAAGCUGGAAUGAAUGAUUGAACGAGAAAAUAGCUGUCUCAAUUUUAUUUUUAUUAGAAUUUUAUUUUUAAGUAAGAAAGCUUAAAUAUUGUUAAAAGACGAGAAGACCCUAUAGAGUUUUAUACUUCAUUUAUUAUUAAUUUUUUAGAAUUAUUUUAUUAGUGUUAAAGUGAGUAUUUUAUUGGGGUGAUAGAAAAAUUUGAUUAACUUUUUUUAAUUUUUGUACCAUUAAUUUAUGAUUUUAUGAUCCAUUAUUUAUGAUUAAAAGAUUAAGUUACCUUAGGGAUAACAGCGUAAUUUUUUUUUAGAGUUCUUAUCGAAAAAAAAGAUUGCGACCUCGAUGUUGGAUUAAAAUUAAUAUUAGGUGUAGAAGCUUUAUUAUUAGGUCUGUUCGACCUUUAAAAUUUUACA